rnacentral:rRNA from 1 species
AACGAACGCUGGCGGCAUGCCUAACACAUGCAAGUCGAACGGUCACUUCGGUGAUAGUGGCGCACGGGUGCGUAACGCGUGGGAAUCUACCCUUGGGUUCGGAAUAACUCUCCGAAAGGAGUGCUAAUACCGGAUGAUGACGUAAGUCCAAAGAUUUAUCGCCCAAGGAUGAGCCCGCGUAGGAUUAGCUAGUUGGUGAGGUAAAGGCUCACCAAGGCGACGAUCCUUAGCUGGUCUGAGAGGAUGAUCAGCCACACUGGGACUGAGACACGGCCCAGACUCCUACGGGAGGCAGCAGUGGGGAAUAUUGGACAAUGGGCGAAAGCCUGAUCCAGCAAUGCCGCGUGAGUGAUGAAGGCCUUAGGGUUGUAAAGCUCUUUUACCCGGGAUGAUAAUGACAGUACCGGGAGAAUAAGCUCCGGCUAACUCCGUGCAGCCGCCGCCGUAAGAC